rnacentral:lncRNA from 1 species
AGGCUGCUCCGUCACUCUGCCCUGGCAAAAAAAGCAUUACUUCCUGACUGCUGUGAUUCGCUGAGAUUGUCAGAGAAGUUGGACGCGCGCCAUUGUCGAGUGACUGAGCAGAUCAUUGACACCCAUCGCCUCACUAGACAAACCCUCUUGGCUGGCUAAUGAGCUCCAGGAGAGGUGAGGCGGGCAUUCUCCCCCAGAGCCUGUCGGUCCUGUCCAGCCAGUUAGCAGAGAAAGGGAGAGAACUGAGGGGAAACAGAGGGAGGGACCAAUUAAUGGGGAGAAGAGAGUCAGGAAGCCAGGUACAGGACAGGGACAGAGCACUUGACACCUAGAGAGAAAAGAUGAUCGCCUGAGCGACAUGGACACGGUGAAAACCAGCCAUCCCUCCAAGGCACCUAACCAGAACACAGGAAAUGGUGUCCUUCCCCUGGAGGAUAUGACCUCCAACAACCAGAGGAUGGAUGCCCGGCCAGACACGUCAAACGAGGGAGAUAGAGAUGCUGAAGUGGAGUUGGAUGGAGUCAUGCCAGCUGCAGAUGUACUCAAUGACCACCAGGUGGCGCUAGACAAGCACAGAUCCAACACUGUGGGCCCACAGAAGAAACACAGGCAGAAGGUUGUGGAUUUUGGAACUGUAAGCAAGGCAUCGGCUGUCAGUGUCAAACCCAGAACACCGCUGAUCCAGAGCCUGUUCGCACAAGGAACAUCUGACAAGACUACACUCACCGAGGAUCGUGCAUCUCUAGAGGGGCUGAAACAGGCUCUGGAGUCCUAUGCAGUACCUGGAGAUCUGACCUGGAGAUGGGAAGAAGAAAAGACAGCCAACACACUGGAAGACAACUGGACAGAACUAGUGCAUUCUCACUGGAUGAUGUCAAAGACACAGAGGCACCAGCAGGAGGCGCUGUGGGAGUUUAUGCACACUGAACUCACGUACAUCAACAAGAUUUCCAUCAUCACCGACGUGAGGUUUCUUUUUGAAAGGCUUAGCACUAAUCAUAUUUACAUCAAGACUUAGUUGUAACACAGAUUUGUCUGCCACAAAUGUGUUAGUUGCAAAUUAAUCAUUAACAUACUAUUAGCCAACUGUACUCUGUCAUUCUUCAUGGACUCAAAUCAAAUUUCCAUUUACUGUAAAUGUUAAAUGUUAUGCCUUUUGUCUGUUUUGUCUGUUACAACACAUGAAUUAUGGUCUCUAGCUGGUGAUGGCAGCGCUGUCUAACCUGCACCAGCAUGGGUUCCUGUUGGAGGUCACGACAGAAAAACUAUUCUCGAACCUUUCAUCCAUUCUUGCUGCUCACCAACGGUUUUGGCAAGAAGUGAUGCGUCCCAUGCUACAGAUGGCCCGACAGACGGGGCGCCCAUUUGACCCCCUGAUGCUGGAGCCUGGCUGCUUGCAGUUUCAGGAGCGUUUCCCUUCCUAUUUCCAGUACUGUUUGGAAGAGGAGAAGGCAGUGGAUUUUACGCGCAGACAGAUGGAGUCUAACCCCCACUUCAACGCCUUCCUAACAUGGGUGGAGACACAUCCGCAGUGUUCUCGCAUGCGAUUGGGCGACAUGCAGGCGAAGCCACACCAGAGGAUCACUAAGUACCCUCUGCUGCUGAAGGCCAUCCUGAAAACCACAGAGGACCCUGAGACUCAGGACUCCCUCAAGAGGAUGCUGUCCAGCAUAAACAACUUUGUGGACAACAUCGACAAUCACCUGAAACAGAGACACGAGGAGCUGGCCUUGUUUCAGUGCGCCCAGAGAAUAGAGGGGUUUGAUAUGAUGGAAGGAAUGAGUGAAGAAAUCGACAAGGUAAACGAGUGGAACAAGACAUAGAAAUAGAGAUAAAGAGAUAUGGCCUCUGUAUAGCCUGGAGUGUGUA